GUACACUCCUACGGGAGGCAGCAGUGGGGAAUAUUGGACAAUGGGCGCAAGCCUGAUCCAGCCAUGCCGCGUGAGUGAUGAAGGCCCUAGGGUUGUAAAGCUCUUUCACCGGUGAAGAUAAUGACAGUAACCGGAGAAGAAGCCCCGGCUAACUUCGUGCCAGCAGCCGCGGUAAUACGAAGGGGGCUAGCGUUGUUCGGAUUUACUGGGCGUAAAGCGCACGUAGGCGGACUAUUAAGUCAGGGGUGAAAUCCCGGGGCUCAACCCCGGAACUGCCUUUGAUACUGGUAGUCUUGAGUUCGAGAGAGGUGAGUGGAAUUCCGAGUGUAGAGGUGAAAUUCGUAGAUAUUCGGAGGAACACCAGUGGCGAAGGCGGCUCACUGGCUCGAUACUGACGCUGAGGUGCGAAAGCGUGGGGAGCAAACAGGAUUAGAUACCCCUGGUAGUCCC
rnacentral:rRNA from 1 species